rnacentral:tRNA from 1 species
ACUACUUUGGCAGAAAAGUGUAAUAAAUUUAGAAUUUAUUUAUGUAAUUUAUAUUACAAGUAGUA